GCAAUUGAUUUUUAAGCUAAAGAAGAAGAAACCUUGAGAAAACAGAAGGCAACUGCUGUUUUCUCCUCUUUCCAGUCCUGCCACGUGUUUUGAGUUGGAGCAACCAGAGUAAGAGCCUAGUGGACCUAAAAGCAAGCUGGUGUAGGACAUCAUAGUCCUGCUAAUGAAGAUGUUAUCUCUGCAGACUUUCUGCUUUACUCAGCAUUAAUGCCA